rnacentral:rRNA from 1 species
CUGAAUAUGGGGGGACCAUCCUCCAAGGCUAAAUACUACUAACUGACCGAUAGUGAACCAGUACCGUGAGGGAAAGGCGAAAAGAACCCCUGUGAGGGGAGUGAAAUAGAACCUGAAACCGCAUACGUACAAGCAGUGGGAGCCAAAUUUAGUUUGGUGACUGCGUACCUUUUGUAUAAUGGGUCAGCGACUUAUAUUCUGUAGCAAGGUUAACCGAUUAGGGGAGCCGUAGCGAAAGCGAGUGUUAACUGCGCGUUUAGUUGCAAGGUAUAGACCCGAAACCCGGCGAUCUACCCAUGGGCAGGUUGAAGGUUGAGUAACAUCAACUGGAGGACCGAACACACGUAUGUUGAAAAAUGCGGUGAUGACUUGUGGGUCGGAGUGAAAGGCUAAUCAAGCCGGGAGAUAGCUGGUUCUCCCCGAAAUCUAUUUAGGUAGAGCCUCGCACGAACACCAUUGGGGGUAGAGCACUGUUAAGGCUAGGGGGUCAUCCCGACUUACCAACCCUUUGCAAACUCCGAAUACCAAUGAGUGAUAUGCGGGAGACACACUACGGGUGCUAACGUCCGUUGUGAAGAGGGAAACAACCCAGACCGCCAGCUAAGGUCCCAAAGUACUAGUUAAGUGGGAAACGAUGUGGAAAGGCAUAGACAGCUAGGAGGUUGGCUUAGAAGCAGCCAUCCUUUAAAGAAAGCGUAAUAGCUCACUAGUCGAGUCGGUCUGCGCGGAAGAUGUAACGGGGCUAAACUAGUCACCGAAGCUGCGGAUUUGAACUUAGGUUCAAGUGGUAGGGGAGCGUUCUGUAAGCCGUUGAAGGUGAAUUGAGAAGUUUGCUGGAGGUAUCAGAAGUGCGAAUGCUGACAUGAGUAACGAUAAGGGGAGUGAAAAACUCCCCCGCCGAAAGACCAAGGUUUCCUGUCCCAUGUUAAUCAGGGCAGGGUAAGUCGGCCCCUAAGGCGAGGCGGAAACGCGUAGUCGAUGGGAAACAGAUUAAUAUUUCUGUACUUCUAUAUAUUGCGAAGGAGGGACGGAGUAGGCUAGAUGAGCACGGCGUUGGUAGUCCGUGUGAAAGAAUGUAGGUGGGCGACUUAGGUAAAUCCGGGUUGCUAUUAACACUGAGACUCGAGACGAGUGUCUACGGACAUGAAGUUGUUGAUGCCAUGCUUCCAGGAAAAGCUUCUAAGCUUCAGAUAUAUAGGAACCGUACCCCAAACCGACACAGGUGGUUAGGUAGAGAAUACUAAGGCGCUUGAGAGAACUCGGGUGAAGGAACUAGGCAAAAUAGUACCGUAACUUCGGGAGAAGGUACGCUGCAUAUGGGUGAUAGAACUUGCUUCUUAAGCCCGGCGCAGUCGAAGUAACCAGGUGGCUGGAACUGUUUAUUAAAAACACAGCACUGUGCAAAAUCGAAAGAUGACGUAUACGGUGUGACGCCUGCCCGGUGCCGGAAGGUUAAUUGAUUCGGUUAGUCCUCGGACGAAGCUGAUGAUCGAAGCCCCGGUAAACGGCGGCCGUAACUAUAACGGUCCUAAGGUAGCGAAAUUCCUUGUCGGGUAAGUUCCGACCUGCACGAAU